rnacentral:rRNA from 1 species
AAUUCGAUUGAGUUUGAUCAUGGCUCAGGAUAAACGCUGGCGGGGUGCCUAAAACAUGCAAGUCGUACGGGCACCUUCGGGUGUCAGUGGCGGACGGCUGAGUAACACGUGGGCGACCUACCUCCGAGCGGGGGAUAACUGCCCGAAAGGGUGGCUAAUACCGCAGACAUCGGCGAUUCGGUUCGUCGAUUAAACGCGCAAGCGGCUUGGAGAGGGGCCCGCGGCCGAUUAGCUUGUUGGUGGGGUAACGGCUUACCAAGGCGUCGAUCGGUAGCUGGUCUAAGAGGAUGAUCAGCCAGACUGGGACUGCGACACGGCCCAGACUCCUACGGGAGGCAGCAGUUAGGAAUUUUGGGCAAUGGGGGAAACCCUGACCCAGCAACGCUGCGUGGGUGAUGAAGGCCUUCGGGUCGUAAAGCCCUUUUCCAGGGGAAGAUAAUGACGGUACCCUGGGAAUAAGCCCCGGCUAACUACGUGCCAGCAGCCGCGGUAAUACGUAGGGGGCGAGCGUUGUCCGGAUUUAUUGGGCGUAAAGGGCUCGCAGGCGGCUGGCCAAGUCGUGCGUGAAAUCUCUCGGCUCAACUGAGAGCGGUCGUGCGAUACUGGUCAGCUUGAGGCCGGUAGGGGGAAGCGGAAUUCCGGGUGUAGUGGUGGAAUGCGUAGAUAUCCGGAGGAACACCAGUGGCGAAGGCGGCUUCCUGGACCGGUCCUGACGCUCAGGAGCGAAAGCGUGGGUAGCGAUCCGGAUUAGA